GAACUUUUCACAUUGUACUACAUUUCCCAUACACCAUAGUCAAUAUGCUUAAUCAUUCACAGGUUCCAUGUGCUCUCUGACUCAGGCAAAAUGGCCACCCCGAGCCUCACAUGCUCCCUGCCUUAGCCAAGAUGGCCACUUCAGAGCGUCUCAAGUUUCUUGUGCUCUGCUGCUGGCUCCUCCCUGGCUCCCUGUCUAUGAAUGUUAUCUGCCUGCCCUGAUUUUUGCCUGGUUUUCUGGACACUGUUUAUUAAAGCUGCAUUUAGAUCCUCAACCCUUCGUGUAUCAGAGCACUAUCACACUUCAUACACAUAUUAUGUUGUUUUACUGAUGGAAUAGCUACAAGAAGGUGUGAGCCAUCAUAAAUGCUGUUGAAGGCAAUGUGUCUACAGAUUUAGGUGCUGACUUAUUUACACCACCUACACUUAAAAGGGGAAUGAUCACAUCAUUUAGUCUCCCACCUGUUUUUAUUUUUUUUAUUUUAAGCUUACACUUAUGACAUACUGAAUGUGUUCUUCACAUUGUGCAUCUUCAGUGUUCAUGUUUGUUUUACUUAUCCCUCUUUUGAAUAUCCUAUUUGCCUUCCCUGUUUUGCCUGUCUUGCCUUUAGUCACCAAUCUUAUACUUCUAUGUCACACUUGCACUGUUUGUGGAUGUCUGAGCUUGGUUGAAUGUUUAUUUACUUAUUUAUAUUCUUUAUUGCAAACAGGUUGUCAACUUUGACUCAUCCUGAGUGGUCCAUUACAGGUCGAAGCUGUAGGCUACAGGUCUUGUGAGUUUUCCAUAUGGAGGUUGUGUUGUUUUUAAGGAAUUUUCUCUUUUCGAGAAUAAGAAGGUCUGUCACUUUGGAACAAAUCUGCCUGAAUUGUGGCAAAAACAAAAUGGGGCAUGCCACUUUUAAAGGACGUUCUGGAGGUUCUGGAUUUUCACUUGGAUGGUCACUUUUGUGCAAACACCUGGUACAGAGGAGUUGUGUGAAUCAAACAACAUUUUCUUUAAAGAAAUAGAGUAUAUUAUCUUCACCAGUCAGGAACAGAAGAACAGAGGGAUGUCUGGAGCAUGAAAAGGGUCUUCAGCAAACUGUUAGAAGCAUAUCCUCUUAGGUGUUUCUGUAUGCAGUAGCAUUAAGAUUCACUUGAAAUUGAGAGGCUAAAACAACCUGGUCAACUAGAAAAGAAGGAGCAUUUUACACUAACAAUGUCGUGUAUUUCUCAAAAUGGGGAAAUAUAAGGGAAGAGUCACCCACCAGGCUGAUGUCCUUAAUGUCCUUCUUUUUCUUUUGUUUAUUAAGUUUGUGCAUCAUCUGGGUACUUCUGACAUUUACUAGAGGUUCUCCAGUUUCCCCUAAAAAUUCCCUGUUAGAAGUUGAAGGUUUUGUUGGAGAAUCUGGGCUCUUGCCUUUUUCUUUAAAUGGCAAUAUAUCUGAAGUGAUUUCUGUACAUUGGAGAGAUGGUAAUGGCAAACCAGUGUAUGACAUUAUCAAUGGCACAGGAAAAGCUGGGCCAGAUUACCAGGGAAGAGUUACAAGUUUUUCUUUGGAGUAUAAGAAUGGAAAUUACUCCAUCCAAAUCGAAAAUCUUCAAAUCACAGAUGAAGGAGAAUAUGAGAUUUAUAUCACUGGGUCGCAAGAUUCUGCAAAAAUAAAGCUUUCUG